rnacentral:rRNA from 1 species
GACGAACCGUGCAAACGUUGUUCGGAAUCACUGGGCUUAAAGGGCGCGUAGGCGGGCUCGCCAGUCAGGGGUGAAAGCCCACGGCUCAACCGUGGAAGUGCCUUUGAUACUGCGAGUCUCGAGGGAGGUAGGGGCGUGCGGAACUUCCGGUGGAGCGGUGAAAUGCGUAGAUAUCGGAAGGAACACCGGUGGCGAAAGCGGCGCGCUGGACCUCUUCUGACGCUGAGGCGCGAAAGCCAGGGGAGCAAACGGG